rnacentral:tRNA from 1 species
GCUGGGGUAGCGAAGCGGCCAAACGCAGGUGACUGUAAAUCAUCCGGCUUAUGCCUUCGGGGGUUCGAAUCCCUCCCCCAGCACCA